CCGAGUUUACGACUCCCAAACCCUGUGAACAUACCACUUGUUGCCUCGGCGGAUCAGCCCGCUCCCGGUAAAACGGGACGGCCCGCCAGAGGACCCCUAAACUCUGUUUCUAUAUGUAACUUCUGAGUAAAACCACAAAUAAAUCA
rnacentral:misc_RNA from 1 species